rnacentral:rRNA from 1 species
AGUCGGGCGGAAAUUCGUGGUGUAGCAAUACAUCGCGGGUUUCAGCGGCAAACGGGUGCGUAACACGUAGCUCAUCUACCUCGAAGUGGGGGAUAGCUCGCCGAAAGGCGAAUUAAUACCGCAUGUGGUUGUAAGACUAAAGCGGGGGUCGCAAGACCUCGCGCUUCGAGAUGAGGCUGCGGCCUAUCAGCUUGUUGGCGGGGUAACGGCCCACCAAGGCGAUGACGGGUAGCUGGUCUGAGAGGACGACCAGCCACAGUGGAACUGAGAGACGGUCCACACACCUACGGGUGGCAGCAGUCGAGGAUCUUGGACAAUGGGCGCAAGCCUGAUCCAGCGACGCCGCGUGGGGGAUGAAGGUCUUCGGAUUGUAAACCCCUGUCACUUGGGAAAAACGGCUACGACCUAAUACGUCGUGGCUUGAUGGUACCAGGAGAGGAAGGGACGGCUAACUCUGUGCCAGCAGCCGCGGUAAUACAGAGGUCCCAAGCGUUGUUCGGAUUUACUGGGCUUAAAGGGUGCGCAGGCGGUCAGAUAAGUCGGGUGUGAAAUCCCAAGGCUUAACCUUGGAACUGCGCCCGAAACUGUCUGGCUCGAGGGUUGGAGAGGAGACUGGAAUUCACGGUGUAGCGGUGAAAUGCGUAGAUAUCGUGAGGAACACCAAUGGCGAAGGCAGGUCUCUGGACAAUUCCUGACGCUCAUGCACGAAGGCCAGGGGAGCAAACGGGAUUAGAUACCCCGGUAGUCCUGGCCCUAAACGGUGUUCACUUGCCGU